AUACGUAGGGAGCGAGCGUUGUUCGGAUUUACUGGGUGUAAAGGGUGCGUAGGCGGCUCUGCAAGUCAGGUGUGAAACCCAUCGGCUUAACUGAUGGACUGCAUUUGAAACUGUAAGGCUUGAGUGGAGUAGAGGCAGACGGAAUUCCCGGUGUAGCGGUGAAAUGCGUAGAGAUCGGGAGGAACACCAGUGGCGAAGGCGGUCUGCUGGGCUUUAACUGACGCUGAGGCACGAAAGCAUGGGUAGCAAACAGGAUUAGAUACCCUGGUAGUCCAUGCUGUAAACGAUGAUUACUAGGUGUGGGGGGUCUGACCCCCUCCGUGCCGGAGUUAACACAAUAAGUAAUCCGCCUGGGGAGUACGGUCGCAAGAUUAAA
rnacentral:rRNA from 1 species